CACCAUUGAGUACAGUUUGGUCAAAGUAAACCUGAUAAUUAUAUUCUUUUGAGAGCGGAGAUUUCCUUUUUUUGUGUGUUAUAACCGCUUGAAACUUGGAAAUUUGUUAGAUCAGGAGUUUAAACCAAAACUGCGCAAAACAAAAAUGAUUAACCCAAUAAACCUUUUCAGUAAUCUUACUUCAAAUGUUACCCAAGAACCCGUUACCCAAGAACCUUUGGCAAUUCCACCUUUGGGUUUUAUUGUGACUGUGACUUGUUUGAGUAUGCUUGCAAUUGUUUCGCAAGCAAUUGUUAUUAUUAUAUCAAUGGGCCUUGAAGGAAAUUUCUCCGCGCAAACUAUUAUGGUCGUUCAAUCUUUCUUUGAAAUUUUAAAAAUGAUGAUGAAUCUACAACGAGCAAUGUGUGGCUUAUCAGGUGGCUUUUUGCUAGCUUGUCUCCAUCAUCACCUCAAUCUCUACUGUAAACUGACAAAAAGCCUUGGCGAGUUGGUGAAUACUUUUCCAGACUAUAUGGCUCUACUUCUGGCUAUAGAUCGCUAUCUGGUGAUCAAAAAACCGAUGUGGUAUCGCACAAACUGCACUCGAAACACAGCGUGGAUUCCUAUUCUGCCUGCAAUGUUGAUAAGAGUUCCAGACCUCACUUGGAUUUUUUCCAAUGCCUCCGUGAUCCCAGUAAUAGGCUGCUUUGACGAUGGGAUAGCCCAAGCAGUGUCUCAAAUCAUAGUGAAUGUUCUGGGCUAUUCUUCUGUCGUUCUUGGAGUUGUUUUCUCAGUUCUGCUGAUUGUUGAGCUUAGAAAGAGACAAAAUAGUCGGCUAUCUCA